rnacentral:rRNA from 1 species
UACGGAGGGUGCGAGCGUUGUCCGGAAUUAUUGGGCGUAAAGAGCUCGUAGGCGGUCUGUCGCGUCUGCUGUGAAAACCCGAGGCUCAACCUCGGGCCUGCAGUGGGUACGGGCAGGCUAGAGUGCGGUAGGGGAGAAUGGAACUCCUGGUGUAGCGGUGGAAUGCGCAGAUAUCAGGAAGAACACCGAUGGCGAAGGCAGUUCUCUGGGCCGUAACUGACGCUGAGGAGCGAAAGCGUGGGGAGCGAACAGG